rnacentral:snoRNA from 1 species
UUGGUUAUCUCUUCUCACUAUAUGAUGACUCUGAGUGCAUUUGGCUCGAGACGUUUUUGUCGAUGUGGAAAAACCCAAGCUACCUUACUUUUUUUGUCUGAUG